AAAGGGUGCGUAGGCGGCCUAUUAAGUCAGGGGUGAAAGACGGUAGCUUAACUAUCGCAGUGCCUUUGAUACUGAUGGGCUUGAAUAUACUAGAGGUAGGCGGAAUGUGACAAGUAGCGGUGAAAUGCAUAGAUAUGUCACAGAACACCAAUUGCGAAGGCAGCUUACUAUGGUAUGAUUGACGCUGAGGCACGAAAGCGUGGGGAUCAAACAGGAUUAGAUACCCCAGU
rnacentral:rRNA from 1 species